AGACUAUUUCUCUCUUCUCUCGCUCGCUCAGCUCCAUCUUCUCUGUGUUCACCAUUUUUUUUCAUCCCUCUCUUCGUCUUCAAAUCCCAGCAGCAUACUAAGUGCUAGGAGCGGCGCAUCCAAGGCUCGAGGAGGACAACCGAAGCAAGCUUGAAGAGGUUUGAAUUCAAUCACUUAAGGUGGGGUUUACUUUUAUCUGUAAGCGUAGUUGUUACAUGGUUAUAAUCAUUGUUGUGUCGUGCGUCAUUCAUAUGAACUAAUGGGACCCACAAGGGGUCGGAUCCACAAGGGAUCAAAGAGCUGAACGGCCCACAAGGGGUUAGGUCCACAAGGGACCGAGACUAGUCUCACAAGAUGCCAGCUAAGUGAAAAAUUAUAAGAGUUCAACAUGUUAUGAUUCAUUACACAAUUGGUUAUAACUGCUUGCAGUGUUUACCCCACUGAGUGUGCUUGCACACUCAUACCCUAUUAUUUAUGAUUCUUUUUCAGGUUAAGGAGUUGACGGCAAGACGGCAGACCUGGAGCUCCACAUUCUCCCGUUCUAUUAUAUGAUGAAGUAUUAUAUGUUGCUGUUUUUGGUAAAUAUAUCUUGCUACUAACCAACUUAGCCUCUUCCAAUUUUGGUGGGUCGAGACUUUAUAUAUAUUGGUUUAUGAUCAUGCAUUUUGAUGACGGCUGUGACCGAAUAUAUACAUUUUGUUU